GUGUGGGAGAGAGUUGGGCUGGAGUUGAAGGGGACGGAAGGAGUUUAUUAGAGUGCAGAGGAAGACAUGAGAAAAUGCGAGGGAUGGAGGAGGGUCUCUCCCCCCUAGCCAGCCGCGUGGUGCAAGGGGCCAGGUGAAAUAUGCAAAUCUAGGGGGGCCUAAGCCCCAGCGGCAGGGCGGCUGCGGACUCAGGAGGUGCCCACCCUGGAAGGAAGGGCGCCAGCAGCUGGGGCAGCCAGGGGCCCUGGAGACGGGGAGGUAGGGAGGUGACUUGCUGCUGAGCACAGGUGUGACCUGCAAGGGUCGCAGCCACAGACACCCCGAAAUCACUCAAGAACAAAAGGGACUGGGAGCGCAGUGGAGCUACACGGCGACACAGCGAGUCCCACGUUGUGACCCUGGCCCUGAUUUCUCUGUUAGGUUCUUCCUGAAGAACAGGAACACAGUAAGGCCUGCCUGUGUGAAGGACCUCCUGCACUGGGUGCUCGGGACUGGAAAGGAUACCGUCCCAUUCAGCACGAACUAUCCUCACCGCUGCCCAUGGCGGAAGGGUGGCUCCUGGCAGGUGACCUGCAGUGCGCUCUGCCUGGAACUCCUCCAGGAGACCAGCUGGCCCAAGAUGGAAUCACAGCGCUUCUCGAGAGCAGAACCAUGGCUGCCGGGCUGCAGUGGGAAGCGGCACAUCACAUAUUGGCUUUUCAUCUAUGAGUCCUGCAGAAGUGACACAGGAAGUAAGAAAGAAGUGAUUUAUUUAAAACUCCUUGAGAUCAUUGUAGAUUCACAGGCAGUUGUAAAAAGAAAAUAAUCUGGAGAGGUCCUGGGAAGUCCUAUGUCCCAUUUGCCCACUCCCCUCCACAAGUGGUAACAUUUUAUAAAAUUAUAGUGAAAUAUCAUAGCCAUGAUACUGACUCAUAAAAUUU
rnacentral:lncRNA from 1 species